rnacentral:rRNA from 1 species
GUUUGAUCCUGGCUCAGAGUGAACGCCGGCGGCGUGCCUAACACAUGCAAGUCGAACGAGAACGGAACUAGCUUGCUAGUUUGUCAGCUAAGUGGCGCACGGGUGAGUAAUAUAUAGUUAAUCUGCCCCAAAGAAGAGAAUAAUUGUUGGAAACGACUUGUAACGCUCUAUAUGCCUUUAUUACAUAAGUAAGCAAGGGAAACAUUUAUGGCUUUGGGAUGAGACUGUACGGUAUCAGCUAGUUGGUGAGGUAAUGGCUCACCAAGGCUAUGACAUCUAACUGGUUUGAGAGGAUGAUCAGUCACACUGGAACUGAGACACGGUCCAGACUCCUACGGGAGGCAGCAGUGGGGAAUAUUGCACAAUGGAGGAAACUCUGAUGCAGCAACGCCGCGUGGAGGAUGACACAUUUCGGUGCGUAAACUCCUUUUAUUAGGGAAGAUAAUGACGGUACCUAAUGAAUAAGCACCGGCUAACUCCGAUGCCAGCAGCCGCGGUAAUACGGGGGGUGCAAGCGUUACUCGGAAUCACUGGGCGUAAAGAGAAUGUAGGCUGGUUAUUAAGUUGGAAGUGAAAUCCUAUGGCUCAACCAUAGAACUGCUUCCAAAACUGAUUACCUAGAAUAUGGGAGAGGUAGAUGGAAUUUCUGGUGUAGGGGUAAAAUCCGUAGAGAUCAGAAGGAAUACCGAUUGCGAAGGCGAUCUACUGGAACAUUAUUGACGCUGAGAUUCGAAAGCGUGGGGAGCAAACAGGAUUAGAUACCCUGGUAGUCCACGCCCUAAACGAUGCACACUAGUUGUUGCUAUGCUAGACAUAGCAGUAAUGCAGUUAACACAGUAAGUGUGCCGCCUGGGGAGUACGGUCGCAAGAUUAAAACUCAAAGGAAUAGACGGGGACCCGCACAAGCGGUGGAGCAUGUGGUUUAAUUCGACGAUACGCGAAGAACCUUACCUGGCCUUGACAUAGUAAGAAUCUAAUAGAGAUAUAAGAGUGCUAGUUUACUAGAGCUUACAUACAGGUGCUGCACGGCUGUCGUCAGCUCGUGUCGUGAGAUGUUGGGUUAAGUCCCGCAACGAGCGCAACCCUCGUGUUUAGUUACUAACAGUUCGGCUGAGGACUCUAGACAGACUGCCUGGGUAACCAGGAGGAAGGUGAGGACCGACGUCAAGUCAUCAUGGCCCUUACGGCCAGGGCUACACACGUGCUACAAUGGGGUAUACAAAGAGCCGCGAUACCGUGAGGUGGAGCAAAUCUCAUAAAAUAUCUCCCAGUUCGGAUUGAAGUCUGCAACUCGACUUCAUGAAGUUGGAAUCGCUAGUAAUCGUGAAUCAGCAACGUCACGGUGAAUACGUUCCCGGGUCUUGUACUCACCGCCCGUCACACCAUGGGAAUUGAAUUCAUUCGAAGCGGGGAUGCUAAAAUAGCUACCUUCCACAGAUGGAUUUAGUAACUCAGGGUGAAGUCGUAACAAGGUACCC